GACGAACCGUACAAACGUUAUUCGGAAUCACUGGGCUUAAAGGGUGCGUAGGCGGCGCUGAAAGUUGGGUGUGAAAUCCCUCGGCUUAACCGAGGAACUGCGCCCAAAACUGCAGUGCUUGAGGGAGAUAGAGGUGAGCGGAACUUAGGGUGGAGCGGUGAAAUGCGUUGAUAUCCUAAGGAACGCCAGGGGCGAAAGCGGCUCACUGGGUCUCUUCUGACGCUGAGGCACGAAAGCUAGGGUAGCGAACGGG
rnacentral:rRNA from 1 species